GCAGGGCCAGGGGGCAACAGAAGUAGCAGAGCCGAGUGUGUUUGCCUACCAGUUUAUGCUAAAACCUGCUGUAAACCAAGAGAAAGCCUGUAAAUUGUUUGGAGAGAUGUUUAUGCAAAGUAAAGCUGUUU